UACGUAGGGGGCUAGCGUUGUCCGGAAUCAUUGGGCGUAAAGCGCGUGUAGGCGGUCCGGUAAGUCCGCUGUGAAAGUCGGGGGCUCAACCCUCGAAUGCCGGUGGAUACUGUCGGGCUAGAGUGCGGAAGAGGCGAGUGGAAUUCCUGGUGUAGCGGUGAAAUGCGCAGAUAUCGGGAGGAAGACCGGUGGCGAAGGCGGCCUGCUGGGCAGAUACUGACACUGAGGCGCGACAGCGUGGGGAGCAAACAGG
rnacentral:rRNA from 1 species